CGGUCCCCGUCUAAGUGCCCUGGAACGGGCCGUCAUAGAGGGUGAGAAUCCCGUCUGGGAUGGGCGGCCGCGCCCGUGUGAAGCGCCUUCGACGAGUCGAGUUGUUUGGGAAUGCAGCUCUAAGUGGGUGGUAAAUUUCAUCUAAAGCUAAAUACUGGCCGGAGACCGAUAGCGCACAAGUAGAGUGAUCGAAAGAUGAAAAGCACUUUGAAAAGAGAGUUAAACAGCACGUGAAAUUGUUGAAAGGGAAGCGUUGUCCACCAGACUCGCCCGAGGGGGUUCAGCCGGCACUCGUGCCGGUGUACUCUCCCCCGGGCGGGCCAGCAUCGGUUUGGGCGGCUGGUGAAAGGCCCCGGGAAUGUAACACCCUCCGGGGUGCCUUAU
rnacentral:rRNA from 1 species